rnacentral:misc_RNA from 1 species
CAGAGUUGCAAACUCCCACAAACCAAUCGCGAAUCUUACCCGUACGGUUGCCUCGGCGCUGGCGGUCCGGAAGGCCCUCGGGCCCCCCGGAUCCUCGGGUCUCCCGCUCGCGGGAGGCUGCCCGCCGGAGUGCCGAAACCAAACUCUUGAUAUUUUAUGUCUCUCUGAGUAAACUUUUAAAUAAGUCA